UUUGAAUUCAACUGAUGGAAAAGAAGUGCGCGUUUCUUUGCUGUUCAUAUUUCAUGUGUUUUUGAAGCUAUAUACACAAGGAUUAAGGAUGGAAUAUCAACUUUUGCUCAUUCGCUGUAAGGUUCAAUCAACCAGUUAUGCAGGGAAUUGAUUGUAUAGUCAGCCUUGAUUGAAUCAGAUUCUUCUCCCGUGAAAAUUAUACAAAGGAAUGCAACAUUUUGCUUUUGCUUUAGAGGGUGGAUUCUCCUGUUCAUUUCUUUCAUUCGUGGUACUUAACUCUAUGCGUGAUUAAAAUCAAUGGAUCCGCCACUUUGUGGAACUUAGAAGUGUAAGGCAUAUGCGUACUUCGAAGGACCUGGAUGUGAUUAUUGUGACCCACUUUUCCCAAGGAAUAUAAAUUUUGUCAAGCAGUGAUUUUUGAGAUUCAGUGAUUGAAUCCGAAUUUGUGUUUGUCUUAAAAAUACAUGUAAAAUUAAUUCUCUCACAAUCAUAAUACUUGAUUACAACCUAUAUAAAUAUUACGCAACUUGAAUAAAUUUUUUUAUUAGAAUUUGAAAUGUAUUUGUUUAUAAAGCAAAAUGUAAUAUGAAUUCA